rnacentral:rRNA from 1 species
UACGUAGGGUGCAAGCGUUGUCCGGAUUUCUUGGGCGUAAAGAGCUCGUAGGCGGUCUGUCGCGUCGGAUGUGAAAACCCAGGGCUCAACCCUGGGCCUGCAUUCGAUACGGGCAGACUAGAGUAUGGCAGGGGAGACUGGAAUUCCCGGUGUAGCGGUGAAAUGCGCAGAUAUCAGGAGGAACACCGGUGGCGAAGGCGGGUCUCUGGGCCAAAACUGACGCUGAGGAGCGAAAGCGUGGGGAGCGAACAGG